rnacentral:rRNA from 1 species
UACGGAGGGUGCAAGCGUUGUUCGGAAUUAUUGGGCGUAAAGGGCAGGUAGGUGGUCCCAAAAGUCUACUGUGAAAUCCCCGGGCUUAACUCGGGAAGUGCGGUAGAUACUCUGGGACUAGAGUACUGGAGGGGUUCGUGGAAUUCCCGGUGUAGCGGUGAAAUGCGUAGAUAUCGCUUGGAACGCCGACGGUGAAAACAGCUCGCUGGGGAUUCGCUGACGCUGAGACACGAAAGCCAGGGGAGCAAACGGG